rnacentral:tRNA from 1 species
CGUAGCUCAAUUGGUAGAGCGUAUGUUUGCAAGCAUAAAGCUGUCGGUUCAAAAUCCGAUCG